UGUCAACGGCUGGACUGGAAAAAUUAUUCCGUAUCAAGGAAAAAACGAGUACUGCUCCAAUAUAAUUUCCUUCGACGAAGUAAAUUUACAGAUGUUGAAAGAGCAUGGGAUGGACUCUGGAUAUUUCAUCGAGUACUUAACAGGAAUCGAGCGUCCGGCAGCCAAUAUUAUAUACUUGAAUGUUUACCAUAAGCCGUUUCGACUUCGACUGUACUAAGUUUAAACCGAGGAUAAAAUAUUUGCGACAAAAUCCCGCGGAACACCAAACAAUGAAGGCAAAACGAGAAGUUGACCACUACCACCUUUAAACGCG